AACGAACGCUGGCGGCGUGCCUAACACAUGCAAGUCGAGCGAGAAAGUCCGCAAGGAUGAGUACAGCGGCGCACGGGUGCGUAACACGUGGGUAAUCUGCCCUGAAGCCCGGAAUAACCUCCCGAAAGGGAAGCUAAUACCGGAUGAGACCACGGGAGCCUCGGCUCCUGUGCGAAAAGGUGGCCGCUGUACACAAGCUAUCACUUCAGGAUGAGCCGGCGGCCCAUCAGCUCGUCGGCGGGGGAACGGCCCACCAGGGCUACGACGGGUAGGUGGUCUGAGAGGACGAUGAGCCACACUGGAACUGAGACCGGGUCCAGACUCCUACGGGAGGCAGCAGUGGGGAAUCUUGCGCAAUGGGCGAAAGCCUGACGCAGCAACGCCGCGUGUGUGAUGAAGGUCUUCGGAUCGUAAAGCACUGUCGGGAGGAAAGAACAAGCCUGUGGCUAACAUCCACGGGCCUUGACGGUACCUCCAAAGGAAGCACCGGCUAACUCUGUGCCAGCAGCCGCCGCGGUA
rnacentral:rRNA from 1 species